rnacentral:lncRNA from 1 species
UCUUAUUUUAAUUUCCCUUAAUAUAACUGAGUUCCCCACUAUCUCUGGCCCUUCCCCUAGCUAGCUGUCGCACUCAUAUUAGUGGUACAGGAAAUAAUACCAGAGAAGGAAUAUGAAAUAUGAUGUUUUGGAUUUCGCUGUGAACAAUUGAAAGACUCACUGGAGAUGGAAGAGCAGGGGUAAAACAACAAAAUUUAUUUGCUAGCAGGCUAGCCUCACAGGAACAUGCCUUCAAGGACUGAUCCUGAGUUGCUUAGGCAUCUGACUAUGCAAGGGACUCAAGUGAGCUGUGGUGUAGGAAGAGUGUGUGAAGAUUAAUAAGGAUAAACUGG